rnacentral:rRNA from 1 species
CGUAGGGUGCAAGCGUUAAUCGGAAUUACUGGGCGUAAAGCGUGCGCAGGCGGUGAUGUAAGACAGAUGUGAAAUCCCCGGGCUCAACCUGGGAACUGCAUUUGUGACUGCAUUGCUGGAGUGCGGCAGAGGGGGAUGGAAUUCCGCGUGUAGCAGUGAAAUGCGUAGAUAUGCGGAGGAACACCGAUGGCGAAGGCAAUCCCCUGGGCCUGCACUGACGCUCAUGCACGAAAGCGUGGGGAGCAAACAGGAUUAGAUACCCUGGUAGUCCACGCCCUAAACGAUGUCAAACUGGUUGUUGGUCCUUUGCUGGAUCAGUAACGAAGCUAACGCGUGAACGUUGACCGCCUGGGGAUACGGCCGCAAGGUUG